AUGGCAUGGAUGAAAGAAAACGAUGGGAAUGGAAAAGAAAAAGAGUUAGGUGGAGAUAAUGGUUUUUCCAAAGUGAAAGAAUCGUCUGUUAGUUCUGCUGGUGGUGCUGUUUCGCUGAACCGGAAAUCGGAUGUGAAAGAAGAUAUUUGUUAUGCUAAUAUUUUGCGCUCGAGGAACAAGUUUGCGGACUCGCUUGCUUUGUAUGAGCGUGUCUUGGAGAGUGAUGGUGGGAAUGUGGAGGCUCUUAUUGGGAAAGGGAUAUGCUUGCAGAUGCAGAAUACGGGGAGGCUUGCUUUUGAUAGUUUUUUGGAGGCGAUUAAGUUGGAUCCUCAGAAUGCUUGUGCUCUCACACAUUGUGGUAUUCUUUAUAAAGAAGAAGGUCGUUUGAUGGAGGCAGCUGAGUCAUAUCAAAAGGCGUUACGGGUGGAUCCUACGUACAAAGCAGCUGCUGAAUGCUUAGCCAUUGUACUAACGGAUAUUGGUACCAACAUAAAGCUUGCAGGAAACACUCAGGAGGGAAUUCAAAAAUAUUUUGAAGCUCUAAAAGUAGAUCCACACUAUGCU